UCCACAACUAUAAGCCAUAAAUAAGAAACCACAAAAACCCAGAUCUGAACGAUGUCACUGUGAAAUAUGGAAGAUAACAUGUGUGAUCACAUGCGAUGAGCCCAUGACCAGAUGUGCAAAGACUAGAAGAUAUAUGGCGUUCCUCCUCAAUCAACAGUGAGAAAUCAUCUACCUAGGGUCUUGCCAAUCACAUUGCUCACUAUGAAUGAAAGAAGGGUCUUGCCUUCGUCAUGGGUGAGAGAGAGGAGUUCCCUUCCUUGUCUGAGUGAGAGAGAGAAGGUUUUU
rnacentral:lncRNA from 1 species